GGGAAUCUGCCCCUUGGUUCGGAAUAACUCAGAGAAAUUUGAGCUAAUACCGGAUGACGACGUAAGUCCAAAGAUUUAUCGCCGAGGGAUGAGCCCGCGUAGGAUUAGCUAGUUGGUGGGGUAAAGGCCUACCAAGGCGACGAUCCUUAGCUGGUCUGAGAGGAUGAUCAGCCACACUGGGACUGAGACACGGCCCAGACUCCUACGGGAGGCAGCAGUGGGGAAUAUUGGACAAUGGGCGAAAGCCUGAUCCAGCAAUGCCGCGUGAGUGAUGAAGGCCUUAGGGUUGUAAAGCUCUUUUACCCGGGAUGAUAAUGACAGUACCGGGAGAAUAAGCUCCGGCUAACUCCGUGCCAGCAGCCGCGGUAAUACGGAGGGAGCUAGCGUUGUUCGGAAUUACUGGGCGUAAAGCGCACGUAGGCGGCUUUGUAAGUUAGAGGUGAAAGCCUGGAGCUCAACUCCAGAACUGCCUUUGAUACUGCAUGGCUUGAAUCCAAGAGAGGUGAGUGGAAUUCCGAGU
rnacentral:rRNA from 1 species